AAUUCAGCUGAUGUUUUUCUUUUAUCAGAUGGGGAUGAGGAUGGCAUCCAAAGAAGAGCUUCUAACGACCCCCGAGGAAUGCUGAGUGACCAGGCAAGGUACCCACUGAACCCAAUUGUGUCCAUUGAUCUCUUGGAGCAGCCAGGGAUCGUGGACAAUCAACCCCUUCACAAUCUAGAACCUGAAGACUGGAUCUUCUGAGAAUGACAGAGAAAGACUGGCUUUGCCAUACACACUGUAACAAAACUUUAGGACCUUGAACCCUGGGUUCAUAAUCUCACACCUGUGAAGAUUCCCUCCACACUCUUGGAACUGUACACCCAUUGGAACCCUUAAGACCCGUGCCAUCAAAUGUCCUAGCAGAACUUCUCAGAACAAUCUGGCUUAAACUAUUACGACACAAC